rnacentral:rRNA from 1 species
ACGUGAUAGCCUGCGAUAAGCUUCGGGGAGCUGGCAAAUUAGCUUUGAUCCGGAGAUUUCCGAAUGGGGAAACCCACCCGCAGGGGUAUCGCAUGCUGAAUACAUAGGCAUAAGAGGCGAACGCAGUGAACUGAAACAUCUAAGUAACUGCAGGAAAAGAAAUCAACCGAGAUUCCGAAAGUAGCGGCGAGCGAAAUCGGAACAGCCUGAAUGUGAUAACCGACGUGUUAGCGGAAUGGUCUGGAAAGGCCAGCGAUAGAGGGUGAUAGCCCCGUACGCGAAAACCUGUUGGUGGUACUGAGCAUUCGACAAGUAGGGCGGGACACGUGAAAUCCUGUCUGAAGAUGGGGGGACCAUCCUCCAAGGCUAAAUACUCGUAAUCGACCGAUAGUGAACCAGUACUGUGAAGGAAAGGCGAAAAGAACCCCGGGAGGGGAGUGAAAUAGAUCCUGAAACCGCAUGCAUACAAACAGUCGGAGCCUGGAAACGGGUGACGGCGUACCUUUUGUAUAAUGGGUCAGCGACUUACGUUUAGUGGCAAGCUUAACCGUAUAGGGGAGGCGUAGGGAAACCGAGUCCGAAUAGGGCGUCCAGUCGCUAGGCGUAGACCCGAAACCCGGCGAUCUACUCAUGGCCAGGAUGAAGGUGAGGUAACACUUACUGGAGGUCCGAACCGACUACUGUUGCAAAAGUAGCGGAUGAGCUGUGGGUAGGGGUGAAAGGCUAAACAAGCCGGGAAAUAGCUGGUUCUCCCCGAAAACUAUUUAGGUAGUGCGUCGUGUAUUGCUCCAGGGGGUAGAGCACUGUAAUGGUUGUGGGGGUCAUUGAGACUUACUGCGCCAUAGCAAACUCCGAAUACCUGGAAGUAUGAGCACGGCAGACAGUCCUCGGGUGCUAACGUCCGAGGUCAAGAGGGAAACAACCCAGACCGCCAGCUAAGGUCCCCAAUAUUUGCUAAGUGGGAAACGAAGUGGGAAGGCUAAGACAGUCAGGAAGUUGGCUUAGAAGCAGCCAUCCUUUAAAGAAAGCGUAAUAGCGCACUGAUCGAGUCGUCCUGCGCGGAAGAUGUAACGGGGCUAAGCAAAUAACCGAAGCUGCGGAUUUACGAGAAAUCGUAAGUGGUAGGGGAGCGUUCCGUAAGCCUGUGAAGGUGGCUUGUAAAGGCUGCUGGAGGUAUCAG